AGAUGUCUUUAGAUCACCGAAGUUAAGCAUCAUUGGGCGCGGUCAGUACUUGGGUGGGUGACCACCUGGGAACACUGCGUGCCGUU